AGCUGAGUGGUGCAGGGUGAAGAGCUGAGCCUUGAAAUCCCAAGACCCAGGUUCAAAUCCUGGCUCUGCCC
rnacentral:tRNA from 1 species